rnacentral:ncRNA from 1 species
UCUGGUACCACGGGUAACCAGGAGCCCACGGAACUUGUUCCGUCCUGGUUAGUUGGUGCGGCCCUUCGGGGAGUAUCGUGGUGGUUGUGGUUUAACACCCAAAUGCGGGUAGAGCAUCGCUCGACGUGGAGUUGCGUCAUACAACCGGGUUCCGUGACCCAGAUUACGGAAGAGGCUUAGAUAGUCCUCGUGCCAAACCAAGGUAGAAGUCACAACCAAACAGUCGUGUCUUUAAUUGGUACCUGCGGAAUUGUUCCAAGGGGGCGGUGAUUGACGCUUGAAUUAAUCCUAUACUAGGAACCGUGAGAUUAAGCCAUCGCGGCAGGUGCUCACGUUAAGCCCACUGACUUUCAUGUCCCUAUCUACUAUCUAGCGAAACCACAGCCAAGGGAACGGGCUUGGAAUAAUUAGCGGGGAAAGAAGACCCUUUUGAGCUUGACUCUAAUCUGGCAGUGUAAGGAGACAUAAGAGGUGUAGAAUAAGUGGGAGAUAUUAGACUUCGGUUUGGUAUCGACAAUGAAAUACCACUACUCUUAUUGUUUCCUUACUUACUUGAUUAAAUGGAACGUGUAUCAUUUCCUAGCCAUUAUACGGAUAUAAUUAUUAUGUCUUAUGGUAUUGGGUUUUGAUGCAAGCUUCUUGAUCAAAGUAUCACGAGUUUGUUAUAUAAUCGCAAACAAAUUCUUUAAUGAGAGAAUGCAUUUAUGUAUUAUUGAUUUAAAAAUUUGGUAUAACUCCAAUUACUCAGGUAUGAUCCAAUUCAAGGACAUUGCCAGGUAGGGAGUUUGACUGGGGCGGUACAUCUCUCAAAUAAUAACGGAGGUGUCCCAAGGCCAGCUCAGUGCGGACAGAAACCACACAUAGAGCAAAAGGGCAAAUGCUGACUUGAUCUCGGUGUUCAGUACACACAGGGACAGCAAAAGCUCGGCCUAUCGAUCCUUUUGGUUUAAAGAG